rnacentral:misc_RNA from 1 species
UUUCCGUAGGUGUACCUGCGGAAGGAUCAUUAUCGUACAAAAUGUGAGGGGCAUGCGAGGGCUGUCGCUGACCCAAGAGUCAUGCACGCCCAAGUGUGUCCUCUUGCAUAAUAAUUCACCUCACCCUUUGUGCUUUACCUCGUUGGCACCCUUCGGGUUCAUCCCGUAAGGCGGCCCGCGCUCUCACACAAACCCUCCAUUUAAAAUUGUAGAAUGCCCACAUUUAUGCAAUCAAUACAACUUUCAACAACGGAUCUCUCGGCUCUCGCAUCGGACAAA